rnacentral:rRNA from 1 species
CUACGGGAGGCAGCAGUCGAGAGGCUUCGGCAAUGGGGGAAACCCUGACCGAGCGACGCCGCGUGCGGGAUGACGGCCUUCGGGUUGUAAACCGCUUUCAGCAGGGAAGAAGCGCAAGUGACGGUACCUGCAGAAGAAGCACCGGCUAACUACGUGCCAGCAGCCGCGGUAAUACGUAGGGUGCGAGCGUUGUCCGGAAUUAUUGGGCGUAAAGAGCUUGUAGGCGGUUUGUCGCGUCUGCUGUGAAAAUCCGGGGCUCAACCCCGGACUUGCAGUGGGUACGGGCAAACUAGAGUGUGGUAGGGGAGACUGGAAUUCCUGGUGUAGCGGUGAAAUGCGCAGAUAUCAGGAGGAACACCAAUGGCGAAGGCAGGUCUCUGGGCCACUACUGACGCUGAGAAGCGAAAGCGUGGGGAGCGAACAGGAUUAGAAACCCCGGUAGUCC